rnacentral:tRNA from 1 species
AGCUCAGUUGGUAGAGCGCUCCACUUGUAAUGGAGAGGUCCCGGGUUCAAUACCCGG